CCUACGGGAGGCAGCAGUGGGGAAUUUUGGACAAUGGGCGCAAGCCUGAUCCAGCAAUGCCGCGUGAGUGAAGAAGGCCUUCGGGUUGUAAAGCUCUUUUGUCAGGGAAGAAACGGUGGGAGCUAAUAUCUCCCACUAAUGACGGUACCUGAAGAAUAAGCACCGGCUAACUACGUGCCAGCAGCCGCGGUAAUACGUAGGGUGCAAGCGUUAAUCGGAAUUACUGGGCGUAAAGCGUGCGCAGGCGGUUUUGUAAGUCUGUCGUGAAAGCCCCGGGCUCAACCUGGGAAUUGCGAUGGAGACUGCAAGGCUUGAAUCUGGCAGAGGGGGGUAGAAUUCCACGUGUAGCAGUGAAAUGCGUAGAGAUGUGGAGGAACACCGAUGGCGAAGGCAGCCCCCUGGGUCAAGAUUGACGCUCAUGCACGAAAGCGUGGGGAGCAAACAGGAUUAGAUACCCUGGUAGUCCACGCCCUAAACGAUGUCUACUAGUUGUCGGGUUUUAAUUAACUUGGUAACGCAGCUAACGCGUGAAGUAGACCGCCUGGGGAGUACGGUCGCAAGNUUAAAACUUNAAAGUUGAUAGNGNGNGNGAGNGCGAGACGACGACGAGGAGAGG
rnacentral:rRNA from 1 species